rnacentral:rRNA from 1 species
CUACGGGGCGCUGCAGUGAGGAAUAUUGGUCAAUGGGCGCAAGCCUGAACCAGCCACUCCGCGUGUAGGAUGACUGCCCUAUGGGUUGUAAACUACUUUUAUACAGGAAGAAACCUCCUUACGUGUAGGGAGCUGACUGUACUGUAAGAAUAAGCAUCGGCUAACUCCGUGCCAGCAGCCGCGGUAAUACGGAGGAUGCAAGCGUUAUCCGGAUUUAUUAGGUCUAAAGGGUUCGUAGGCGGAUGAUUAAGUCAGUGGUGAAAUCCUACAGCUUAACUGUAGAACUGCCAUUGAUACUGGUUGUCUUGAGUAUAGUUGAGGUAGGCGGAAUGUGUAGUGUAGCGGUGAAAUGCUUAGAUAUUACACAGAACACCGAUUGCGAAGGCAGCUUACUAAGCUAUUACUGACGCUAAGGAACGAAAGCGUGGGGAGCGAACAGGAUUAGAUACCCCCGUAGUC